rnacentral:rRNA from 1 species
UACGUAGGGUGCAAGCGUCGUCCGGAAUUAUUGGGCGUAAAGAGCUCGUAGGCGGUCUGUCGCGUCCGCUGUGAAAACCUGGGGCUUAACCCCGGGCCUGCAGUGGGUACGGGCAGACUAGAGUGUGGUAGGGGAGACUGGAAUUCCUGGUGUAGCGGUGAAAUGCGCAGAUAUCAGGAGGAACACCGGUGGCGAAGGCGGGUCUCUGGGCCAUAACUGACGCUGAGGAGCGAAAGCGUGGGGAGCGAACAGG